rnacentral:sRNA from 1 species
UAGCUUUCGCGCACACGAAGGCGCAACCUGAGGCUGGUGGCAUUUGCCACCGGCCU